rnacentral:rRNA from 1 species
UACGUAGGGGGCAAGCGUUGUCCGGAUUUAUUGGGCGUAAAGAGCGUGUAGGCGGCCAUGCAGGUCCGCUGUGAAAACUCGAGGCUCAACCUCGAGACGUCGGUGGAAACCGCAUGGCUAGAGUCCGGAAGAGGAGAGUGGAAUUCCCGGUGUAGCGGUGAAAUGCGCAGAUAUCGGGAAGAACACCCGUGGCGAAGGCGGCUCUCUGGGACGGUACUGACGCUGAGACGCGAAAGCGUGGGGAGCGAACGAGG